AAAAUUUUAGUUUAAAAAACACCUACUUUGGAUGUAGGAAAACUCACUAUAAUUAAAUUUAU
rnacentral:tRNA from 1 species